UGACGUGUAGCUCAGUUGGUUAGAGCAAACGCCUUAUAAGCGUUAGGCCAAAGGUUCAAGUCCUUUCACGUCAA
rnacentral:tRNA from 1 species